AACGAACGCUGGCGGCAUGCCUAACACAUGCAAGUCGAACGAGACCUUCGGGUCUAGUGGCGCACGGGUGCGUAACGCGUGGGAACCUGCCCUUAGGUUCGGAAUAACUCCCCGAAAGGGGUGCUAAUACCGGUUAAUGUAUUCGGACCAAAGAUUUUUCGCCUUUGGAUGGGCCCGCGUUGGAUUAGCUAGUUGGUAGGGUAAAAGCCUACCAAGGCGACGAUCCAUAGCUGGUCGGGGAGGAUGAUCAGCCACACUGGGACUGCGACCCGGCCCAGACCCCUACGGGAGGCAGCAGUGUGGAAUAUUGUACAAUGGGCGAUAGCCUGAUCCAGCAAUGCCGCGUGUGUGAUGAAUGCCUUAGUGUUGUAAAGCUCUUUUACCCGGGAUGAUAAUGACAGUACCGGGAGAAUAAGCUCCGGCUAACUCCGUG
rnacentral:rRNA from 1 species